AUCAUCCAACUGGGGAAUCUGCUGCGCAGUUAAAUCAUGCUUAAACUCCUGACGCGAAACAAUGUAACCAAAUCUAUUAUAUCUGGGAUAGCUGCGGCUGCUAAACAAGAUGCAACAGAAGAUUAAAAAAACUAUUACAAAUCUGUUCGUGUAUCUAUAAAACUUUAUUCAGGCACUCUACGCUUUGACUGGCGAAAGAUAACGUUGAUUCACAAAGAAAACAGACACUAUUUUUUAAUGUAUACUGUGUUCAAUUAUAGUUUCGGUUAUGGAGGAUAUUUUAUGAUCUUUUGAAGCUGCGUGUUUCUGACUUGGCGUUGUUCCUUUUAUAAUGGGAGGGGGCCACAAUAUUUCAUUAUGAAAACUGGUGCGGGGGGACCACUUUCCAAGGGGGGACCAUUUUUCGCGUGACAUUUGUCUUUCGUGCAAUAUUUGGACACACAGAGAUACUCUUCCAAACUCUCCGGUCUCUGGAUCUCAGGAAAUCGUUUGAACGACUCGACAGUCCCCUACAUGCACUGAAGCAACUCGGGGAAGAUGCCAAGUUUGAGGGAUUUUAUGAAGAAACUGUACAGCUCCGAGGCCAUGGAGAGGAACGCAAACGAGAAAGACUCCGCCGUGGCUGGGAUGAUUAUGAACAAGGGCUCAGCUGCUUUAAUGAGGACACCGACCCAAACACUUUGGAGAGACCCCCGCGCCUGCGUGUUGAAGUCCUGGAUGGAAUCAUUUGUCAGCUAUCAGAGAGGUUUGCUGACAUGAAAAAGCUCCACUUCAGGAUUGUAGAUCUUGGACUCUCUAAGCAGCGGCUCUCAAACCAUGAGGCGUGGCAACGUGCCAAGGGGCGAGCGAGCUGUGUGUCCUUUAUUUUUUAUUUUUUUGAGACUUUGGGUGAUUUGAAGAAAAUUACAAAUUAUUAUAUAUUUUAAAUGUAUUAUAUUUAAAAAUAACUAAAAUAAAAUAACGCAAUAAAGUUUUGUUUAACGUGGUAAUGUUUCUUAGCAACUGUGAUACGUCACACGUACGUUGCGUGCCCCCCCCCCCCAGUAAACUUGUAAACAGUCUGAGCAGCGCGCUUACAGAGAGAAAAUAUAUAAAGAAAACAGGAAAAGAAGGGAAGUUAUAAUAAAUAAAGAUGACAGAAAAAUAAAGCAAAACAAAGACAGACAAAGGACUACAGAUAGAGGGCGCUAAUCAUCUACAAUAAUAGAUGGAAUGCGCCCUAUAGAUUAACCAGAAGAAGAAGCAGCAGCUUACAGAGAGAAACAGCUUUAAUGAGAAACGGAUCGUUUUGUGACAAACGGAGAAAAAUCAGAUUGCUCUGCACAAGACCUUGUUGCUGUCUCUGGCUCAGCUGGGGGGAGAGCAGUGCUGCCCUGUUCUUACACCCCCACCCCUGGGCAGGAUGUAGAAGUCAGAUGGUAUGCAUAUCCAGAUCAUGGAGAAGCUGUUCUAUUAAUCACCUCAAAGAGCCCCUCAGCACCCAUCCCUGCGCAGUGGAGCGGCCGAGUGAAGCUGCCUGAUGAAGUCUCCUCUGGAAACGGCUCUCUGCUAAUCUCUGAACUCAGACUGGAGGACACUCGGGAUUACACGUGUACAGUGUGGAUCAAUGGGACAUGUGUCACUAACAGGGCUGUUAAACUGACAGUUCAAGGACCUCCAAAGAGAGAUUCAACUACUUCAAGAACAACAACGUCCACAAGCCCGACAACUAGACCAUCAGCAACCCCGUCAACUAGACCAUCAGCAACCCCGACAACUAGACCAUCAGCAACCCCGACAACUAGACCAUCAGCAACCCCGACAACUAGACCAUCAGCAGCUCCCGCUAUCCUCUCUGCAGUAGCUGUCUCUGCUGUCAUCGGCAUCAUAGGUGCUGCAGUCUUUGUCAUUUUAAAGUACAAAAGGAGAGCAGCGAAUGCUAAUGGGAAUAACCAGAAUGCUGGAGAUCACAAUGCGAGCUCAGACUUGCUUACCUACGCUGUAAUCGAUCACACGAGACAGCCGGGAGGAGCCCCAGUCCGGUCAGGGGUCAGUGCUGUGGACAAUACGGAGUACUCCACUGUCUGGAUCCACUGAUAGGACACGUCUCACCCAGCCACCAGGGAUACAAGAGAGCUUCAACAACAAGAUGAACCAAGGACUUGACUGACAUUGAUUUACUGCAGCGCUUCAAUGAAUCAUACCAACUCUGAUGAGAACAAUAAACACAGCGAGCCACUAACAAGCAAACACCAGACAUUCUUAAUUCGAUCUGAACCAUUUCACUGCCACUGCUAAUAGAACGCUGUGGCCAUGUUUGCAAAGCAUUUCCUCCUGUUUUUGGAAAGUAUAUAAUUCCAUGUUAAAAGGGUUUUAAAUCUUACCUGUUCAUUCGCUAUGCAGGUCACACGUGUAGUUUUGAAAGAAGCACAUGUUAUAUAACAAGCGUGCUUUUUCCUUUUUUUAAAAAUGUUAUCAUACUGGUACCAUACAGUCGUGUGCAAAUGUAUUAGAACACCAAGAUGUGUAAUUGAUAUCCUUCAUAUACGUACCUGCAUGAAAACCUCUGGGGGUGAGAAUUUCAAUUUUCAAUCAGUAAUCGAUGAUACAGAAACGAUAGACACUCAUGUGUGAAAAUGUUAGACCGCUUUGUGCUUCAAUUAGGCAUCUUAAACAACUUCUAAAAAGUGUCCUGCAUUUUAUCAUUUGCAGCUGUGUGUUCCUUUUCUCUUACUAUGUAAUUAAUUGCAUGUGUUGCCUAUUAAAGGCAUCAAUUAAAUUAGAAAAUCGCUGUCCGUUU